ACAGUCGUGGUUGGCUGCAGACUGUCCAAACCUCAGAAUCCUGUCUGUUGAGUAUGACACCCAUUUAAGUGACUGGAAGGCUAAGUGUCCUGCUGAAAACCAAAGGAAGUCCUUGGCCUACAGAAGUCAGGAACUGCUGAGGAAAUUGAAGGAUGCAGGUGUAGGGGACAGACCUGUGGUGUGGGUAGCCCACAGUAUGGGAGGUUAGUCCAUGGUUUACUUGUGAAAAAGAUGCUCUUAGAUGCCUCUAAAGAUCCUGAUCUCAGUCCGCUGAUCAAGAACACAAAGGGAAUUCUGUUCUACAGCGUUCCUCAUCACGGCACGUUCAUGGCAGAGUAUUCUGUAAAUGUCCGAUACCUACUGUUUCCCUCCAUUGAAGUAAAAGAACUAUGUAGAGCGUUACGGGACUUGAAUGAAAAUUUCCUGAACAUUGCAAAGGAACAAGAGUUCAAGGUCCUUAGCUUUGCAGAAACUCUACCAACCUACAUUGGGCCAAUGCUCAAAAUAUUGGUAGUUCCAUCGCAGUCAGCAGAUCUGGGUAUUGGGGACCUCAUCCAGGUGGAUGUUGAUCACCUCAACACCUGCAAGCCAGAAAAAAAAGACUAAUUUCUCUAUAAACGUACUUUACAGUUUAUUCGAGAUGCUUUUGGAGGACAGAGAAUUAAAUGAACUCUUAAGUCCACAGUCCAAAACCGGUCUCUUGCCAUUUCAUUGCCUCUUGAGGGUUCAACAAUUACAUUUUAAAAGAUAGUGUUAACUAUGAAUAGAAGGAAGUUCUAAAAUUGCAACUGGAUUUUUCUUUUCAUUUUUUUAAUUCAAUAAAGCCAUUAUGAAUAUGCUUUUUGUUAAAACCUCUGGGUUUAACUUUUAAU